rnacentral:rRNA from 1 species
GAUGAACGCUGGCGGCGUGCCUAAUACAUGCAAGUCGAGCGAACAGACGAGGAGCUUGCUCCUCUGACGUUAGCGGCGGACGGGUGAGUAACACGUGGAUAACCUACCUAUAAGACUGGGAUAACUUCGGGAAACCGGAGCUAAUACCGGAUAAUAUAUUGAACCGCAUGGUUCAAUAGUGAAAGACGGUUUUGCUGUCACUUAUAGAUGGAUCCGCGCCGCAUUAGCUAGUUGGUAAGGUAACGGCUUACCAAGGCAACGAUGCGUAGCCGACCUGAGAGGGUGAUCGGCCACACUGGAACGGAGACACGGUCCAGACUCCUACGGGAGGCAGCAGUAGGGAAUCUUCCGCAAUGGGCGAAAGCCUGACGGAGCAACGCCGCGUGAGUGAUGAAGGUCUUCGGAUCGUAAAACUCUGUUAUUAGGGAAGAACAAAUGUGUAAGUAACUAUGCACGUCUUGACGGUAACUAAUCAGAAAGCCACGGCUAACUACGUG